GUACUCGCUUUGGCAGCACAUAUAUUAAAAUUGGAAAGAUACAGAGAAGAUCAGCACGGCCCCUGCACAAGGGUGACAUGCAAAUUCAUGAAGCAUGCCAUAUGUUU
rnacentral:snRNA from 1 species